AAAACAUUUUAUUUACCUUAAAAAAAAAUAAAAAUAAAUCAAGUGUUGCAGUAGAUGCAAAAUGUCGUAGUUACCAACUUCGUUUGUAUUUCAAUUACAUGUGAGAGGGUAAAUCUUCACCUUAAUUAACUAUCCGACAACAUACAAAUCUCUAUAGGCUUGACGACCAGGUAUCUCGUAUCGCAUAUAUGAUCUUAGGGUGAUGAGAGGAUCAACUUGACAUAUGGAGGGACGGUAGAUCCCUUAUGUUUUUAAUUUUAUCCAAGGGACAAAGAUAACACUUCAAUAUAGUUAAUUUUAUCCAAGGGACAAACAUAAAACUUCAAUGUAGUUUAGAGCAAUUCAUGAAUGUCGUGCACACUCUCAUUGUGUAGCAAGAAUUAACUGUGUGCUUCCUCGAAAACCGCAAUGUAGGAAUUAUGCAUGUGGUUGUUAUGAUUCAAAUAAAUAUCGCUGAUGAUAAAAUGUUCUAUGUGUAGGAAUUACACAUGUGUUUGUUAUAAUUCAAAUAAAUAUCGUAAAUGAUACAAUGUUCUAUGACAUGUCAAUGUCAAGUUCAUCAUGUUUUGAAGGGAAAACAACAACAAUUGCUUAUGGACAUCUGGACGUAAGAGUAAAGUUCUCUCCGGUAUAUCGUAAUGCGUGUUCUAAGGUGUUUGGAUGCAGACAAAAAGAUGACAUAAAAAAAUUAUCGAUUGGAUCAUGAGUUCAUCUUUGCUCUAUUUAAGUUUCCUCAAUUUAUUCCUUUUCACUUUAUUGUUGUGUGACAUGUGGCAAAUGUAAAAACAAGGGUUGGGAUUAAAAGCUUUGGCAUGAGCACUUUUUUAAUGAAAAAUAAAAUACACCCUUUUCCAACAAAACACACACUUUCUCUUUCUUCUUUCUCUGGAACAGAAACACGCUUCUUCUUCUUUCCCAGAAACGUACAACACUCUUCCUCCUCCUUCCUCUCACCAUCAUGGUUGCGUCUCCCUGUGACCGGUGCCGCCUCCACCGCCGUUCAUCACCCUCCGCUGCAGCGAUCUCCUCCUUCUCCACAUACAGCCUCACACAACUCGUCGUCGCAAACUUCGCUGUCGACAACGUUUUUUUUCUCUGCAAAUCGCUUAUUUAUUGCUGUUCUAAAUCAAAUUAUGAGAAAUUUGUAAAAGCUCAAUGAUGAUUUAAUUGAUUUACAAAUAAGUGUGAUUCAAUUCAAAGAUAGUGGUUGUCUUGAUUCACCGCGGUUCUGUUUGCGACGACGAGACUGAACGACAACGUUUGCGAGAGUGAAAGGGUGAGUGGCGAUGGUGCUGAUAGGAGGAGGAAGAAGAGAUCGUGUUUAUUUCUGGAGAAAGCAUGUGUGUUUUGUUGGAAAAGUGUAUUUUAUUUUUCAUUAAAAAGUGCUAAUGCCAAAGCUUUUAAUCCCAACCCUUGACUUUAAAUUUGCCACAUGUCACACAUCAAUAAAGUGAAAAGGAAUAAAUUGAGGAAACCUAAAUGGAGCAAAGAUGGUUUCUUGGAUCAUAUAUCGCACAUUAUAGGUCAUUUGAUAUUUAAUUUUAAAUUACAAUAUUAAAUUAAAUUUAAAAUAGAAUACAAUCGCGAGAUUUUUUGACAUUUCAUAGAAUUUAUUUUAUCUAUUAGAAAUUUGUAUAUUUUGCUUUGAUAUAGAACCAAAUAUGGAAAGACAUAAAUUGCUGAGUA